UUGACUCUUCUUAAGAAACCUUUUGUCCAAGUUGUUUUGGUGUGAUCUCAUCAGUUUGACUCUUUGGUGCUUUAUGAAGUUGGAGCUCAAGGGUUGGCUUUAUAGUGCUUCACUUCUCAUUGGUGUUGCUCUUUUAUGUUAGACUUCAUUGCUGCUCAUUCACUGAGGAAAAAUGAUAAACACAGGUUGCAGCUCCUGCUGCAUACUUCCAUCACCUCAUCUGUGGCCUGAAAAGAAGAACAAAUGAGAGGGAAGUGUGGCUGCAGAGAUAGAGGGUCAACAUUGGACAAAAUCCAGCUGGGAUCCAGUGCCAUCUUCACUUCAGUGAUGCAGUGGGAUCAUGCUAUCCCCAUGCUAGUAACACAGGAGCAGGAGGUUGUAUGGGCUGCCCUGUCUCUUCUUUGGGUAUGUUGAAUGGCAACUCUGUUUCUUCGGUGAGAUCACAAAAUAGUUUUGAAAAACUGAUUCCACUUUUAUUUUAAUAAACUGCGGAGAAACUCAUUCUGGAAUGACAAGUGAAACCUGUUAUUCCUCUACUGCUUUUUCUACUGAGCUUGCAGUGAUUAAAAUAGCUCUGCCCUUGCUUUCUUACUUAUA